UACUGGGUCACACAUAAAAAAAGGUUUUUACUCUGUGGACAUGGGACCAUGUGAUCAGAACAGAGAGCACAGGAGAAGAGAACAGUAGGGUCACUGGCUCUACCUGGAGGCGUCCUCUGUCCCUGCAAUCAAAAACUAGUAUGGCAUCCAAACUCUCUCAGAGACCAAACUCGGAUGUCAACAGACAUCACAAGGACAAGAAUCUUAUAGCAAAUGCAUGGCAUAGUAUGACCACAGCGUUCCAUCAGAUAUCAGAGAAUGAAGCGAGAGAUUCCAGCCAUCCUCAGUCAUUUCUCGGCCAACAGAGAUUGUCUGCUGCUCUCAGGAGGGUCCAGCUCAGCAAAGACAAAUAAUAAAUAAUAAUAAUAUAAACCUUAUUGCAUAUUAGGAAUCCUAUAGUGCACAGGGCAUUGGUGAGACACAAAGUCAUUGGCUCCACCUGCUGGACACUGAAUGCGUCUACAUGCACAAUUAUGCUGAUAGACUGUAAUUAUUAUAUAUACAUACACUGAGUAAAUAUGCAAAAAAGAAAAUGUCAGAAAAUAACUUCAUAA